rnacentral:lncRNA from 1 species
GAGGAUCCUUCUUUCGUUUCGCAUUUCUCAUCGGACAAAUCAAGGAAUCAAAAUGACAAUAACUAGUAUCGAUUGAUGGAGGAGAGACAUAUGUAGGUUGGUACAAUCGGGGGUAUCACCAUAUUAAGCAUAUUAAGUAAGGAUUCAAAGAGAUACCGUACAGGUCUGGCUUUUUUCGAUUGUUCCUGGCCCAUCGAAUAGAGUAGCAAUUUCUUUCCCAGGAGCACAUAACAUUUUCUUUUUUUUUUUACGAUACGCAAUUAACUUAACAUAGUUACCCCCAUAGAGUACUUUUCAGAUUCAACCUACCCUUUCUUUCUAGCUCCUAUUUUUUUUUCUUCGCUACACCUAUUCUUUCUUCUUCCAAUCAAUUCGAAAAAAUCCAACGUCAACUGCUCUACUCUAAUUCAUAGGUUUUUUUAUUGUAUUGAUCCCGGGAUAUAUUGAAACAAUUGUAUGGGCAUAUAAAAAAAAAGCAACCAAGUCAUCCCUUAGCACAAGCACUAAGUAAGCAAGCUACCUUUUUUU